rnacentral:tRNA from 1 species
GGCCCGUUCGUCCAGUGGCAGGAUACGAGACCCUCAAUCUCGCGACGUGGGUUCGAUUCCCAUACGGGCUG